AUGGCGUACAGCUCGUGCAGGUCCCUCGUCUACGCAUGCCCGGUGCUGGCAACACCGAUGCGUGCCUUCAUCCACGACGUGUCCCCGGGCCUGGCAAGCCUGGUCGGCGCUUCGUCAACUUCAUCUUCGUCCGUCUACGCAUGCCCGAUGCUGGCAACACUGGUGCGUGCCUUCGUCUAUGAUGUGUCCCCGGGCUUGGCAAACCCGUCGCGACGCGCCGUCAACAACAUCUUCUUCCCGGCGCCUCACUACUUCGACACCAAUGUGCCCAUGACUAACUCGGCGCCACCUUGCGCAUGCGGCUCCACGGCGACUUCCUCGACACCGGCCACCCCGACUCGACAUCGACCACGGCAUUCUUCGCACGGCUACCUCGACCACGGCUCCACCACACACGCUCUCGGCUACAUCGACAAACGGCACAAAGGGCUACCGCCUUGCUUGAGCAACCUCAUCGGUUGCCACUUCAGCCACGACUCCGCGAUGUGUCGACCGUUACGACUGUGGGGGGGUGUCCGUCGGCUUACCUUCGGAUUCUUCUCCAGUCUCACCGUCUGCAUCGCUACCGUUGUGACUGCGGGGGGAUGUUGA
rnacentral:rRNA from 1 species